GCCCGCCUAGCUCAAUCGGCUAGAGCGUCAGACUUUUACGGACGCACCAGCGUUUGUAAUCUGAAGGCUGCGAGUUCGACCCUCGCGGUGGGCU
rnacentral:tRNA from 1 species